rnacentral:rRNA from 1 species
AUUGAACGCUGGCGGCAUGCUUUACACAUGCAAGUCGGACGGCAGCACAGAGAAGCUUGCUUCUUGGGUGGCGAGUGGCGAACGGGUGAGUAACAUAUCGGAACGUACCGAGUAAUGGGGGAUAACUAAUCGAAAGAUUAGCUAAUACCGCAUAUUCUCUGAGGAGGAAAGCAGGGGACCUUCGGGCCUUGCGUUAUUCGAGCGGCCGAUAUCUGAUUAGCUAGUUGGUGGGGUAAAGGCCUACCAAGGCGACGAUCAGUAGCGGGUCUGAGAGGAUGAUCCGCCACACUGGGACUGAGACACGGCCCAGACUCCUACGGGAGGCAGCAGUGGGGAAUUUUGGACAAUGGGCGCAAGCCUGAUCCAGCCAUGCCGCGUGUCUGAAGAAGGCCUUCGGGUUGUAAAGGACUUUUGUCAGGGAAGAAAA